rnacentral:rRNA from 1 species
UACGUAGGUGGCAAGCGUUACUCGGAAUCACUAGGCGUAAAGCGCAGGUAGGCGGUUCGGUAAGUCUGUUGUGAAAGCUCCUGGCUCAACUGGGAGAGGUCAACGGAAACUGCCGGGCUAGAGUGUGGUAGAGGUAACUGGAAUUCCCGGUGUAGCGGUGAAAUGCGUAGAUAUCGGGAGGAAUACCUAUGGCGAAAGCAGGUUACUGGACCAUCACUGACGCUGAGCUGCGAAAGCUAGGGGAGCAAACAGG